GAGGAAACCAUGAAGUGCCGUGCAUCAGCCUGAACAAUCUCUACACUUCCAUCCUCAUGCCAAAAUUGUAAAAAUUGAUGAAGUGAAGAGGGUACACACUACUCCCAUGGAUCCAAUCUAGGCCUAACAAAGCAUUGAAAUGGGUUGUCUCCACCGCAAAGAAGGCAAUCAUUCUAACCUUUUGCUCCCUUCUAACUUGGAGUAGGAUAAUCU
rnacentral:lncRNA from 1 species